GUGUUUGUAGUCUAACAAUUAGGAUAAUUGCCAUCCAAGCAAUUGACCCGGGUUCGACUCCCGGAAAAAUGCA
rfam:Ipomoea nil DNA, scaffold: scaffold2247, cultivar: Tokyo-kokei standard.